rnacentral:rRNA from 1 species
ACGUAGGAGGCAAACGUUAUCCGGAUUUACUUUUCUUAAAUCUCUUUUCUCCAGUCCAUUAAUUAUUUCUUUAAAGCUCCUGGCUCAACUGGGAGGGGCCGUUCUAAACUGCAGAGCUAGAGGAUGGUAGAGGGAGGUGGAAUUCCGGGUGUAGCGGUGGAAUGCGCAGAUAUCCGCAGGCUCCCCAUUGUAUAGGGUGGGAAAUUUUUUUUUUUCUGACACUCAGACGCGAAAGCUAGGGUAGCAAACGG